rnacentral:rRNA from 1 species
ACCUGCGGAAGGAUCAUUGUCGAAACCUGCCCAGCAGAAAGACCCGCGAAC